rnacentral:rRNA from 1 species
UACGGGGGGGGCAAGCGUUGUUCGGAAUUACUGGGCGUAAAGCGCGCGCAGGCGGUCCUUCAAGUCAGAGGUGAAAGCCCAGAGCUCAACUCUGGAACGGCCUUUGAGACUAGAGGACUAGGGUACGGGAGAGGUGAGUGGAAUUCCGAGUGUAGAGGUGAAAUUCGUAGAUAUUCGGAAGAACACCAGUGGCGAAGGCGGCUCACUGGCCCGUUACCGACGCUCAGGCGCGACAGCGUGGGGAGCAAACAGG